AAUAAAAGACGAGGACAGGGCUGCGCCCUCCGCCCUUCACCGCCACGCUGCCCCCAGACUCACCCAGCGUGAUGGGCUUGCUGUCCUCCUGGUCAGAGCCCAUCCCUGUCCGGGGACUGCCGCUUUGCUCUGCAUCUGCAAAGAGAGGGAAGAAACACUGGUGGCAUCACAGAGACCCCACCCCAGGAGCAGAUGAAGUGUCGAUGCUGGUGGCCCCAGUCCUGGGCUGGGCCAGUGCUAUGGAGACAAACAGUGGCCCCAAAACACACCCAGGCCCUGGGGUCUCUCUUUGGGCCCUUCCCUUGGCUGCUGCCCUAGAGGGUCACAGACAUCUGGCCAGGCACCCUGCAGACACCAGCUAGGCCCUGUGAGCGCCAGUGUACCCGUAUGUUGGAUCUCACAGUUGAGCCUUUGCUGUAAUUUUGAUUCUGUGACACCCUGUAAAUCCUUUUAGGAGGGGUCUCGGUUCCCCUCACUCCAGGGCUCCUUCUCAUUGGCGGUUUGGGAUGAUUCCUGGUGUUUGAAUCCCAUUCUCUAGCCAGUCAGAUAAAGCCCCA
rnacentral:lncRNA from 1 species